GUCCAUGCUCCCCCUUUCAGGUACCCUCAAUUACUUCGUCGGCUGGCUCCGACACCUCGGAAGCUAAGCAAGGUUGGGCCUGGUUAGUACUUGGAUGGGAGACCACCUAGGAAGACCAGAUGCUGUAGGCA
rnacentral:rRNA from 1 species